rnacentral:rRNA from 1 species
UAGGGAAUCUUCGGCAAUGGACGAAAGUCUGACCGAGCAACGCCGCGUGAGUGAAGAAGGUUUUCGGAUCGUAAAACUCUGUUGUUAGAGAAGAACAAGGAUGAGAGUAACUGUUCAUCCCUUGACGGUAUCUAACCAGAAAGCCACGGCUAACUACGUGCCUG